rnacentral:lncRNA from 1 species
UUUGCUAAGGAAUUUGGGAAGUGGGUUUCGUUAUCCGUUUUUCUGUUUGCUUAGGAAUUGGGAAAUGGUUUCGUUAGGAAGGAAUUAAUGCGACCGGGAAUUUACGGGUUAUGAGAUUGUCACUUUUCACACCGUUAAUUGUGAAGAGGGCGCCGCCUGUUGUUUGAUGAUAUCCCAUUAUUGUCCGCAGUCAUGCAGUAGGCUGAUGUAGCAGACAACUCGAUCGAUAACGUACAUGGUGAGCAGAGUAUACAUUGGAUGGAGCUUCUGACAGACUCUCAGGAGAAAUGGGUGGAUGUUCAGAAGAUCAAGGCAUUCCCAGCCAUGGUAGCAAGCCCUACGCUAAGAACCGGGGCACAGGCACUCAUGCAGAUUGGUGGGUUGGGUAAGAUCAAGACCAACACA